rnacentral:rRNA from 1 species
AAUGUCCCGCAAGGGACUAGUAGAGUGGCAAACGGGUGAGUAACACGUGGGUGACCUGCCUUCGAGUGGGGGAUAACGUCCCGAAAGGGACGCUAAUACCGCAUGACAUCCUGCCCUUGAACGGGUGGAGAUCAAAGCCGGGGAUCGCAAGACCUGGCGCUUGGAGAGGGGCCCGCGUCCGAUUAGCUAGUUGGUGAGGUAACGGCUCACCAAGGCGACGAUCGGUAUCCGGCCUGAGAGGGCGGACGGACACACUGGGACUGAGACACGGCCCAGACUCCUACGGGAGGCAGCAGUGGGGAAUUGUUCGCAAUGGGCGCAAGCCUGACGACGCAACGCCGCGUGGAGGAUGAAGAUCUUCGGGUCGUAAACUCCUUUCGAUCGAGACGAACGGCUCCCGUGCUAAUCAGCGGGAGAAUGACGGUACCGAGAGAAGAAGCCCCGGCUAACUCCGUGCCAGCAGCCGCGGUAAUACGGGGGGGGCAAGCGUUGUUCGGAAUUACUGGGCGUAAAGGGCUCGUAGGCGGCCAACUAAGUCAGACGUGAAAUCCCUCGGCUUAACCGGGGAACUGCGUCUGAUACUGGAUGGCUUGAGGUUGGGAGAGGGAUGCGGAAUUCCAGGUGUAGCGGUGAAAUGCGUAGAUAUCUGGAGGAACACCGGUGGCGAAGGCGGCAUCCUGGACCAAUUCUGACGCUGAGGAGCGAAAGCCAGGGGAGCAAACGGGAUUAGAUACCCCGGUAGUCCUGGCCCUAAACGAUGAAUGCUUGGUGUGGCGGGUAUCGAUCCCUGCCGUGCCGAAGCUAACGCA